rnacentral:rRNA from 1 species
UCACAGGUGGUCGGGUAGAGAAUACCAAGGCGCUUGAGAAGAACUCGGGUGAAGGAACUAGGCAAAAUGGCACCGUAACUUCGGGAGAAGGUGCGCCGGCUAGGGUGAAGGAUUUACUCCGUAAGCUCUGGCUGGUCGAAGAUACCAGGCCGCUGCGACUGUUUAUUAAAAACACAGCACUCUGCAAACACGAAAGUGGACGUAUAGGUGUGACGCCUCCCCGGUGCCGGAAGGUUAAUUGAUGGGGUUAGCGCAAGCGAAGCUCUUGAUCGAAGCCCCGGUAAACGGCGGCCGUAACCAUAACGGUCCUAAGGUAGCGAAAUUCCUUGUCGGGUAAGUUCCGACCUGCACGAAUGGCGUAACGAUGGCGGUGUUGUUCCACCCGAGACUCAGUGAAAUUGAAAUCGCUGUGAAGAUGCAGUGUAUCCGCGGCUAGACGGAAAGACCCCGUGAACCUUUACCGUAGCUUUGCACUGGACUUUGAGCCUGCUUGUGUAGGAUAGGUGGGAGGCUUUGAAGCGUGGACGCCAGUUCGCGUGGAGCCAUCCUUGAAAUACCACCUGGCAUGCUUGAGGUUCUAACUCUGGUCCGUAAUCCGGAUCGAGGACAGUGUAUGGUGGGCAGUUUGACUGGGCGGUCUCCUCCUAAAGAGUAACGGAGGAGUACGAAGGUGCGCUCAGACCGGUCGGAAAUCGGUCGCAGAGUAUAAAGGCAAAAGCGCGCUUGACUGCGAGACAGACACGUCGAGCAGGUACGAAAGUAGGUCUUAGUGAUCCGGUGGUUCUGUAUGGAAGGGCCAUCGCUCAACGGAUAAAAAGGUACUCCGGGAUAACAGGCUGAUACCGCCCAAGAGUUCAUAUCGACGGCGGUGUUUGGCACCUCGAUGUCGGCUCAUCACAUCCUGGGGCUGAAGCCGGUCCCAAGGGUAUGGCUGUUCGCCAUUUAAAGUGGUACGCGAGCUGGGUUUAGAACGUCGUGAGACAGUUCGGUCCCCUAUCUGCCGUGGACGUUUGAGAUUUGAGAGGGCUGCUCCUAGUACGAGAGGACCGGAGUGGACGAACCUCUGGUGUUCCGGUUGUCACGCCAGUGGCAUUGCCGGGUAGCUAUGUUCGGAAAAGAUAACCGCUGAAAGCAUCUAAGCGGGAAACUUGCCGCCUCAAGAUGAUCUCACCGGGAACUUGAUUCCCCUGAAGGGCCGUCGAAGACUACGACGUUGAUAGGCUGGGUGUGUAAGCGUUGUGAGGCGUUGAGCUAACCAGUACUAAUUGCCCGUGAGGC